rnacentral:miRNA from 1 species
CUGGCCUCUUCUUUCUCCUAG